rnacentral:rRNA from 1 species
CUUGGUCAUUUAGAGGAAGUAAAAGUCGUAACAAGGUUUCCGUAGGUGAACCUGCGGAAGGAUCAUUAGUGAAAAACAGGGUGUCUUCGGACCCCAACCUCUCACAUCCACACACACCUGUGCACCUGUUGGCGAUUGAGACCUUCGAGUCUUAAUUGUCCUUUUUAAUCACACACUUUUUGUCCUUUGGAUGUAAUCUUCUAUCGCUGUAAUGGCGUCGAAACUUAAUAAAACUUUUAACAACGGAUCUCUUGGCUCUCGCAUCGAUGAAGAACGCAGCGAAAUGCGAUAAGUAAUGUGAAUUGCAGAAUUCAGUGAAUCAUCGAAUCUUUGAACGCACCUUGCGCUCCCUGGUAUUCCGGGGAGCAUGCCUGUUUGAGUGUCAUGAAGCUCUCAACUCCCACCGGGUUUACUCGUUUGGGAGCUUGGACUUGGACGUCUGCCGGUUCUCUCCUGAAGAGAUUGGCUCGUCUGAAAUGGAUUAGCAGGUUCCGCUCCAAUCACAACGGUUCCACUCGGCGUAAUAAGUAUUAUCGUUGAGGACGNCUUCGGACGGCCGUUGUGGGAAAANGGGAYCSYUUCCAAMANWUCCNUCGAAUCCUCGUGAUUCGAAUACCCAAUCAUAACAUCUGGCCUCAAAUCAGGUAGGACUACCCGCUGAACUUAAGCAUAUCAAUAAGCGGAGGAAAAGAAACUAACAAGGAUUCCCCUAGUAACGGCGAGUGAAGCGGGAAGAGCUCAAAUUUAAAAUCUGGCGGCCUCAGGUCGUCCGAGUUGUAGUCUAGAGAAGUGUUUUCCGCGCCGGACCGUGUACAAGUCUCCUGA